rnacentral:ribozyme from 1 species
UGCAAUUUUUCUUUCUUUUUCUCCCUUUUUUCCUUCUUUUUCUCUCUUUUUUUCUCUUCAAAUCCACUGAACGGAUUACUGGAAUGAAAGU